rnacentral:rRNA from 1 species
GAUCCUGGCUCAGGAUGAACGCUGGCGGCGUGCCUAACACAUGCAAGUCGAGCGAUUCUCUUCGGAGAAGAGCGGCGGACGGGUGAGUAACGCGUGGGUAACCUGCCCUGUACACACGGAUAACAUACCGAAAGGUAUGCUAAUACGGGAUAACAUAAGAAAUUCGCAUGUUUUUCUUAUCAAAGCUCCGGCGGUACAGGAUGGACCCGCGUCUGAUUAGCUAGUUGGUGAGGUAACGGCUCACCAAGGCGACGAUCAGUAGCCGACCUGAGAGGGUGAUCGGCCACAUUGGAACUGAGACACGGUCCAAACUCCUACGGGAGGCAGCAGUGGGGAAUAUUGCACAAUGGGCGAAAGCCUGAUGCAGCAACGCCGCGUGAGCGAUGAAGGCCUUCGGGUCGUAAAGCUCUGUCCUCAAGGAAGAUAAUGACGGUACUUGAGGAGGAAGCCCCGGCUAACUACGUGCCAGCAGCCGCGGUAAUACGUAGGGGGCUAGCGUUAUCCGGAUUUACUGGGCGUAAAGGGUGCGUAGGCGGUCUUUUAAGUCAGGAGUGAAAGGCUACGGCUCAACCGUAGUAAGCUCUUGAAACUGGAGGACUUGAGUGCAGGAGAGGAGAGUGGAAUUCCUAGUGUAGCGGUGAAAUGCGUAGAUAUUAGGAGGAACACCAGUAGCGAAGGCGGCUCUCUGGACUGUAACUGACACUGAGGCACGAAAGCGUGGGGAGCAAACAGGAUUAGAUACCCUGGUAGUCCACGC